rnacentral:tRNA from 1 species
GCCGGGGUGGCCGAGCGGUCAAAGGCGGCGGGCUGCAGUGGCCCGGGCACGGCUACCGCCCAUCGCGGACACCCGUUGAUCCCGGGUUCGAAUCCCGGCCCCGGCU